rnacentral:lncRNA from 1 species
UCCUCUUUGAGGACACCUUCUUUGUGAGCUGAGUACUCACACUUGAUGCUGUAACCUGAUGGAGGACAGGGAUGGAUAGGCAAUCAGUACCUUCCAUAGCUACUCUAUGUUGUCCCCAGCACUCAGUCCCCCACCCAGUAGCUCUUGCUGAGUCUCUUCCAGAAAGAAGCCCAGAUGGUUCCUUCAGAGACCCACCCCACAGAGACGGUCCCACAGGACUUAAGGAGCUCCCCAUCCUUUCAAAUAAAGCCAAUGUGCCUCUGGCCUGAGAA